GACGAACGCUGGCGGCGUGCUUAACACAUGCAAGUCGAGCGGUAAGGCCCUUUCGGGGGUACACGAGCGGCGAACGAGUGAGUAACACGUGGGUGACCUGCCCUCAGCUCUGGGAUAAGCCUGGGAAACCGGGUCUAAUACUGGAUAUGACUCCAUGACGCAUGUUGUGGGGUGGAAAGCCUUGUGCGGCUGAGGAUGGGCCCGCGGCCUAUCAGCUUGUUGGUGGGGUGAUGGCCUACCAAGGCGACGACGGGUAGCCGGCCUGAGAGGGCGACCGGCCACACUGGGACUGAGACACGGCCCAGACUCCUACGGGAGGCAGCAGUGGGGAAUCUUGCGCAAUGGGCGAAAGCCUGACGCAGCGACGCCGCGUGAGGGAUGACGGCCU
rnacentral:rRNA from 1 species